rnacentral:rRNA from 1 species
GCAGUCGACGAUGAGCCCAGCUUGCUGGGUGGAUUAGUGGCGAACGGGUGAGUAACACGUGAGUAACCUGCCCUUAACUCUGGGAUAAGCCUGGGAAACUGGGUCUAAUACCGGAUAGGAGCGUCCACCGCAUGGUGGGUGUUGGAAAGAUUUAUCGGUUUUGGAUGGACUCGCGGCCUAUCAGCUUGUUGGUGAGGUAAUGGCUCACCAAGGCGACGACGGGUAGCCGGCCUGAGAGGGUGACCGGCCACACUGGGACUGAGACACGGCCCAGACUCCUACGGGAGGCAGCAGUGGGGAAUAUUGCACAAUGGGCGAAAGCCUGAUGCAGCGACGCCGCGUGAGGGAUGACGGCCUUCGGGUUGUAAACCUCUUUCAGUAGGGAAGAAGCGAAAGUGACGGUACCUGCAGAAGAAGCACCGGCUAACUACGUGCCAGCAGCCGCGGUAAUACGUAGGGUGCGAGCGUUAUCCGGAAUUAUUGGGCGUAAAGAGCUCGUAGGCGGUUUGUCGCGUCUGUCGUGAAAGUCCGGGGCUUAACCCCGGAUCUGCGGUGGGUACGGGCAGACUAGAGUGCAGUAGGGGAGACUGGAAUUCCUGGUGUAGCGGUGGAAUGCGCAGAUAUCAGGAGGAACACCGAUGGCGAAGGCAGGUCUCUGGGCUGUAACUGACGCUGAGGAGCGAAAGCAUGGGGAGCGAACAGGAUUAGAUACCCUGGUAGUCCAUGCCGUAAACGUUGGGCACUAGGUGUGGGGACCAUUCCACGGUUUCCGCGCCGCAGCUAACGCAUUAAGUGCCCCGCCUGGGGAGUACGGCCGCAAGGCUAAAACUCAAAGGAAUUGACGGGGGCCCGCACAAGCGGCGGAGCAUGCGGAUUAAUUCGAUGCAACGCGAAGAACCUUACCAAGGCUUGACAUGUUCUCGAUCGCCGUAGAGAUACGGUUUCCCCUUUUGGGGGCGGGUUCACAGGUGGUGCAUGGUUGUCGUCAGCUCGUGUCGUGAGAUGUUGGGUUAAGUCCCGCAACGAGCGCAACCCUCGUUCCAUGUUGCCAGCACGUCGUGGUGGGGACUCAUGGGAGACUGCCGGGGUCAACUCGGAGGAAGGUGAGGACGACGUCAAAUCAUCAUGCCCCUUAUGUCUUGGGCUUCACGCAUGCUACAAUGGCCGGUACAAUGGGUUGCGAUACUGUGAGGUGGAGCUAAUCCCAAAAAGCCGGUCUCAGUUCGGAUUGGGGUCUGCAACUCGACCCCAUGAAGUCGGAGUCGCUAGUAAUCGCAGAUCAGCAACGCUGCGGUGAAUACGUUCCCGGGCCUUGUACACACCGCCCGUCAAGUCACGAAAGUUGGUAACACCCGAAGCCGGUGGCCUAACCCUUGUGGGGGAGCCGU